rnacentral:rRNA from 1 species
AUUGAACGCUGGCGGCAUGCCUUACACAUGCAAGUCGAACGGCAGCGCGGGGCAACCUGGCGGCGAGUGGCGAACGGGUGAGUAAUAUAUCGGAACGUACCCUGGAGUGGGGGAUAACGUAGCGAAAGUUACGCUAAUACCGCAUACGAUCUAAGGAUGAAAGUGGGGGAUCGCAAGACCUCAUGCUCCUGGAGCGGCCGAUAUCUGAUUAGCUAGUUGGUAGGGUAAAAGCCUACCAAGGCAUCGAUCAGUAGCUGGUCUGAGAGGACGACCAGCCACACUGGAACUGAGACACGGUCCAGACUCCUACGGGAGGCAGCAGUGGGGAAUUUUGGACAAUGGGCGCAAGCCUGAUCCAGCAAUGCCGCGUGAGUGAAGAAGGCCUUCGGGUUGUAAAGCUCUUUUGUCAGGGAAGAAACGGUGCUUUCUAAUACAGAGCGCUAAUGACGGUACCUGAAGAGUAAGCACCGGCUAACUACGUGCCAGCAGCCGCGGUAAUACGUAGGGUGCAAGCGUUAAUCGGAAUUACUGGGCGUAAAGCGUGCGCAGGCGGUUUUGUAAGUCUGUUGUGAAAUCCCCGGGCUCAACCUGGGAAUGGCAAUGGAGACUGCAAGGCUAGAGUUUGGCAGAGGGGGGUAGAAUUCCACGUGUAGCAGUGAAAUGCGUAGAUAUGUGGAGGAACACCGAUGGCGAAGGCAGCCCCCUGGGUCAAAACUGACGCUCAUGCACGAAAGCGUGGGGAGCAAACAGGAUUAGAUACCCUGGUAGUCCACGCCCUAAACGAUGUCUACUAGUUGUCGGGUCUUAAUUGACUUGGUAACGCAGCUAACGCGUGAAGUAGACCGCCUGGGGAGUACGGUCGCAAGAUUAAAACUCAAAGGAAUUGACGGGGACCCGCACAAGCGGUGGAUGAUGUGGAUUAAUUCGAUGCAACGCGAAAAACCUUACCUACCCUUGACAUGGCCGGAAUCCCGGAGAGAUUUGGGAGUGCUCGAAAGAGAACCAGUACACAGGUGCUGCAUAGCUGUCGUCAGCUCGUGUCGUGAGAUGUUGGGUUAAGUCCCGCAACGAGCGCAACCCUUGUCAUUAGUUGCUACGAAAGGGCACUCUAAUGAGACUGCCGGUGACAAACCGGAGGAAGGUGGGGAUGACGUCAAGUCCUCAUGGCCCUUAUGGGUAGGGCUUCACACGUCAUACAAUGGUACAUACAGAGCGCCGCCAACCCGCGAGGGGGAGCUAAUCGCAGAAAGUGUAUCGUAGUCCGGAUUGUAGUCUGCAACUCGACUGCAUGAAGUUGGAAUCGCUAGUAAUCGCGGAUCAGCAUGUCGCGGUGAAUACGUUCCCGGGUCU